CCUGGGGAGCAACCGACAGGGCUUGGACGUUGGGCUGCCUGGGUGCCCCAACCCACAGCCCUCUGUUAUAGCCCAGCCUUCCUCCUGGGAGCUGCACUGGCUACCCAAAGCAGAAAACACUACAAAGGAUGAGGAAGAACAGCAACAAAACCAUAUUCAGCAGCCUAGGAGUAACAUAUACCAGGAAGGGCACACUGACCCAGCCAUGAAUUUGGGGUUUCACCUUCACUCACAUCACAAGCACAGAUGUGUGCUUCAGCAUUUGUGGCUUCAGGAUUGCUUCAGCUCCAGGUUGGAGCGGAGAUUGCCUUUUGCCUUUCUCAGUGUCCCAGUGGGGCGACUUGGGCUGUGGCUGCGUGGUUUGCAGUGUCACCCACAUGAAAAUUACAGCCCUUGCAAAUCACCACAGCCCAUCCAUUUCUUAAACAUCUCACUUGGCAGUGAAUGAUGGUGGCAGUGUCAGAAAGCAGCCCUUCGAGUAGCAUUUGUUAACAUUGCUGGGACAGCAGAUAAAUGAAUUCAGAUGCCACAGACAUGGUAAUCAUUUCUUUAAGAGGAAAGGCAAGGCUCCCAUGCUGGCUUACGAAGCAAGAACUUAACUUCUGUUUUGUUGACCCAGGGAGGACCCCAAGCACAAGGCAGAGCACCUCUGUGCGGCAGUGCUGGCCAUGCCUUGGGGCUGUCCUCUGCUGCUGCAGCUGCUGAAUUGCAUCUCUGAUGAGCUUGAUGCAAUUAACGGCACCCAUAGGUGCACCAGCCAAGGCCACCUGUCCUACAGGAGGAUCUCAGCUCCAGGGAGCUUCACGUGUUUUUGGUACAGCUUUUUUGUGAGGCGCUCAGCCCCAGGUGAACCAAAUCACCACAUCCGUUUGGGAGGGAACAAGGAGCUCUCAGCUCGAAAGCCAACACUCAGUAUUUGGGAGGCAGGGAGAUCUCAGCCCUGGAAACAAGUGCUGAAACUCACACCUGAACAUCUCUCAACUGAUGCCCAGUCACAAACCAAAGCAGGAACCCAAAAGCCAGGGCAAAGGAGCCCCAGAUGUGACAGCUUCAUGUGCUCAAGGCACCAGCAGAUGUGCUGUAAGGCCAGGGGGAGCACCACCCAUGCUUAUGGUUUCAUCCCAGGAGGCAGAACUUAAGAGAUGCCACAGAUGUCACGGUGGAAGCCAUCAACCCUCUCACACCUGGCUAGAGAUGCACUCACAAGCACCUUGUGCUCCUUCCCAGCAGCUCCCAAAGCAAUGUUAGAGCCUCCCCUGCCCAGCACAGAUGUGAUUCCUGCCUACUGCAGGCAGACGGCACACCUGGAGCCAGCCUUCAUGCUCCACCAGCUGUCAUUGACCUCAGUGACUCAGCCCCACUCUUGGUUUUGUUCCUGCUAUUGAACUCACCACCUAUUUCUCCUGUUUCCAGCCCAAACCAUCCUGCUGCACCGGGAAGCUGAAUUCCUCAGUGCUGCUGGGUAAGAGCUUGAGUUAGCACCAGCAGCUGCUACACAGCCCUGCCUUGCAUGGGGUUCUUCUCUCCCAAAGUUUGGGCGAUGGCAAACAAGUCACUGAAAUGGCCACAGAGUGAAAAGAGAAAGAAUGAAAGAACUGCCCUCAUUAAAAGUAUGGAGCAUCAACCAGGAUCUGAGCUCCAGACUCAGGAGACCCAGGCAACUUUCUGCUUGGAUGCCUGUUUCCUCUCUAUGAAAGACCAGGAUCAUCUUCAGAGGGAAGGAAAAGGGUUUGUUGCACGAUGUGGGCUCACAGCUGCUGCAGUGAGUCCUUGCAAGAAAGGUCUGCAGAGCACCUCCCUGCUUCCAGCAGCCUCUCCCAUGUAUGCCCAAGCAGGAAGAAAGGAAACUGCCAGCAUCCCUGGAAGAUACAGCCUCCUUUUCCAAACCACCUCCAGUUUGCAGUGCAGGCUGCAGAACGCACCCUGACCAGUGACCCCGAAGGCAUCUGCUGAGGGGCACCACAAGUUCCAAUCCUGCAAGCCUCUCAGCUGUUCUGAUCUGUCUUCAAAAGCUUUCCUGUGAAACAGAGCUGCAUAUAUAUUCAUACCCAGCUCUCAUCGUUCUGCUUCCAUCCUUGGAAGAACGCAAGCGUGAAUUCAACUCAAAGAUGCCAAAUUGGAGACGAGUAGAUAACUAAAGGCAGAGGAAUAACCCCACCUCGACCCCACCUUGGCUGGAUUGAGCUUUGGGCCAAAUCCUUGAUUCACCCUCAGUGAUUCCUGUCCUUGGACAAGGGACAGAGGCUCCAGGCCUUGCUCAGAGGAAACAGCCCGGAGGUAUGCAACAACCACAGAGAUGGGGCACCCAGGGACACGGUCAGUGGGCACAGUGGGGUUCAGCUGGACUUAGGGAUCUUCAUGGUCUUUUCCAACCUUAAAGAUUCUGUCAUCUGCACCCUCCUGGGUGCACGGUGAAGCCAAGCCUUGUAUCUUCCCUAUGCACGCACAGGAACGGCCUCUUGGGAAGCCACCUAUGGAUGCACAGCACCAGGAGAGGACAGAGCUUUGCAGUCGCCUCCACCUAUUCCCACCUGCCGCUCUUUCCAUCAUCAACCUUCCCACCGUGGAUUACUCCCAAGCACCUCUUGAUGGGGGAAUCCCCCCAAGCACUGAUCUGUGUGGCCACACAGGGUUAACUGCCCCACAGAGAUCCGUGCCCCCUCACCCCCCAGCACUGAAAACCACCCUCUAUUUCACCCAGAACCCCCCCCACUAUGGCAAAGGAGGGGACUCAGCCAUCACCACCUCACUGCGGUGUGCUCCCAGCCCCCCAGGACCACUCUCCUCACCCCAUGGAUGCACUCACACUCCAGUCCCAAACUCAGCACUGCCGGGCUGUUGCCAUUCUUGUUCCCAAAGCAACGGGACCGCCCAGCUGGGCCCACGUCACUGCCCUGGGGACGCUGCCAGGGAGGAGGUGGCCAUGGGAUGUGGCUGGGUGUGGGAUGCUCAGCGCUCACGACCCCACUGCUCAACAACCCAGCUGUGCUUCCCCCUUUCUUCCUAUUUUAUCCAUAACAAAAUAAAGGCACAGACAGUAGAGACA